UGCUCAGUCUUCCACACGGCCUUUAAAGC
rnacentral:piRNA from 1 species